rnacentral:rRNA from 1 species
AGAGUUUGAUUAUGGCUCAGGAUGAACGCUGGCGGCGUGCUUAACACAUGCAAGUCGAACGGAGUUUUUAAACGGAAGUUUUCGGAUGGAAGUUUAGAAACUUAGUGGCGGACGGGUGAGUAACGCGUGGGUAACCUGCCUCAUACAGGGGGAUAACAGUUAGAAAUGACUGCUAACACCGCAUAAUAUAGCGAAACCGCAUGAUUUUGCUAUCAAAUAUUUAUAGGUAUGAGAUGGGCCCGCGUCUGAUUAGCUAGUUGGUGGGGUAAAGGCCUACCAAGGCGACGAUCAGUAGCCGGCUUGAGAGAGUGACCGGCCACAUUGGGACUGAGACACGGCCCAAACUCCUACGGGAGGCAGCAGUGGGGAAUAUUGGACAAUGGGGGAAACCCUGAUCCAGCGAACCGCCGCGUGAGUGAAGAAGUAUUUCGGUAUGUAAAGCUCUAUCAGCAGGGAAGAUAAUGACAGUACCUGACUAAGAAGCCCCGGCUAACUACGUGCCAGCCGCAGC